rnacentral:rRNA from 1 species
GUGAGGAAUAUUGGUCAAUGGGCGAAAGCCUGAACCAGCCAUGUCGCGUGAAGGAUGAAGGUCCUAUGGAUUGUAAACUUCUUUUGUAGGAGGGUAAAGUGAGCUACGUGUAGUUCAUUGCAAGUACCCUGCGAAUAAGCAUCGGCUAACUCCGUGCCAGCAGCCGCGGUAAUACGGAGGAUGCGAGCGUUAUCCGGAUUUAUUGGGUUUAAAGGGUGCGUAGGCGGACUAAUUAGUCAGCGGUGAAAUUUUGCGGCUCAACCGUAAAACUGCCGUUGAAACUGUUAGUCUUGAGUGCGGUAGAGGUAGGCGGAAUGUGUGGUGUAGCGGUGAAAUGCUUAGAUAUCACACAGAACACCGAUUGCGUAGGCAGCUUACUGGAGCGCAACUGACGCUGAGGCACGAAAGCGUGGGGAUCGAACAGGAUUAGAAACCCCGGUAGUCC